rnacentral:rRNA from 1 species
GACGAACGCUGGCGGCGUGCUUAACACAUGCAAGUCGAACGGAAAGGCCCUGCUUUUGUGGGGUGCUCGAGUGGCGAACGGGUGAGUAACCCGUGAGUAACCUGCCCUUGACUUUGGGAUAACUUCAGGAAACUGGGGCUAAUACCUGAUAGGAGCUCCUGCUGCAUGGUGGGGGUUGGAAAGUUUCGGCGGUUGGGGAUGGACUCGCGGCUUAUCAGCUUGUUGGUGGGGUAGUGGCUUACCCAGGCUUUGACGGGUAGCCGGCCUGAGAGGGUGGCCGGCCACAUUGGGGCUGAGAUACGGCCCAGACUCCUACGGGAGGCAGCAGUGGGGAAUAUUGCACAAUGGGCGGAAGCCUGAUGCAGCAACGCCGCGUGCGGGAUGACGGCCUUCGGGUUGUAAACCGCUUUCGCCUGUGACGAAGCGGGAGUGACGGUACCGGGUAAAGAAGCACCGGCUAACUACGUG